AACGAACGCUGGCGGCGUGCUUAACACAUGCAAGUCGAGCGAGGAAAUUGCUUCGGUAAUUUCCUAGCGGCGGACGGGUGAGUAACACGUGGGCAACCUGCCUGAUAGAGGGGGAUAGCUUCCCGAAAGGGAGAUUAAUACCGCAUAAAGUCAAAUGAAGACAUCUUCAAAUGACCAAAGGAGUAAUCCGCUAUCAGAUGGGCCCGCGGCGCAUUAGCUAGUUGGUGAGGUAACGGCUCACCAAGGCGACGAUGCGUAGCCGACCUGAGAGGGUGAUCGGCCACAUUGGGACUGAGACACGGCCCAGACUCCUACGGGAGGCAGCAGUGGGGAAUAUUGCACAAUGGGGGAAACCCUGAUGCAGCAACGCCGCGUGAGUGAUGAAGGCCUUCGGGUCGUAAAGCUCUGUCUUCAGGGACGAUAAUGACGGUACCUGAGGAGGAAGCCACGGCUAACUACGUGCCAGCCGCCGCCGUAA
rnacentral:rRNA from 1 species